CCCCCUUUCCCUUCUUCAUCCCUCAUCUCCAGACCUAGCUGCCUCCUCUUGCUCCCCUUCAGACCUCUCUUCCCUCCUCUUUACCACCACCGGAUCUCGUCCUCACAUCCACUUUGCCCUCAUCUCCAACUUUGUCGACGUCAACUUCCUUGCCUCAGACGGAAAACCCUAGCUCACCCUCGUCGUCCUCUCCGAUUGCCCUGACUCCAUCUCCAUCCUCCUCUCCGCCAGAGUGAAACCCAAUCCUAACCUAAUCCACGCAGCCGCCACAUCGGUCUUUGCUGACAUCGCUGCCAUCCUCGCCUCUACGUGAUCUAGUGGUGCAAAGAGAAGAUUGUAUGCAAUAUCAAAUUCUGAAGAAUUAUUGAACAGGGCUACAAAGUAAAUUGGGCAAAAUCUUGGAGUUGGUGGAACAUGGUCAUCCAACAUUAUUUUCUCAAGCAAGCAAAUCGGGAAUUACUUCAAGGGAUGACACUACAGGAGAUGGAAGAGAAGAUGCAUAAAGAGAUUGAGAUGACCCUUAGAAUGGUGUUGUUACAGUCUGUUUUGUUGGAGUACCUUUAAACGAAUUAUAUUUUUUUUGUUGAUUGCUUGCAACUUUAUAACUUCUAACACUUUACAUAUGUUUUUGGAUUGUAUUAUGAAUUUAAAUAUUUUUGGUUAUGAUGAACAAGUGAUUGUAUUA